rfam:Macrostomum lignano unitig_36054, whole genome shotgun sequence.
GGGCCUGUAGUCUCAGUUGGUUAGAAAGUUGGACUUAAAAUCCAAAGGUCGCGGGUUCGAACCCCGCCAGGUCCA